AUACGGAGGAUGCAAGCGUUAUCCGGAUUUAUUGGGUUUAAAGGGUGCGUAGGCGGUUUGCUAAGCGGGAGGUGAAAUGCCGGCGCUCAACGUCGGAAGUGCCUCCCGAACUGGUGGACUGGAAUGACUCUGCCGUGGGAGGAAUGUGUAGUGUAGCGGUGAAAUGCUUAGAGAUUACACAGAACACCGAUUGCGAAGGCAUCUCACGAAGGGUUGAUUGACGCUGAGGCACGAAAGCGUGGGGAUCAAACAGGAUUAGAUACCCUGGUAGUCCACGCAGUGAACGAUGAUGGCUAACCGCUGGUUUAUUCGGAUCAGUGGCCAAGCGAAAGCGAUAAGCCAUCCACCUGGGGAGUACGACCGCAAGGUUGAAACUUAAAGGAAUUGGCGGGG
rnacentral:rRNA from 1 species